AAUCUUCUUUUGCUCGGUUUGGUUGUACGGUUGGCUGUAGAGAAGCAUUGUAAAUUUUGGGAGAAUUCCAGGAAAAAGCAUCCAGGAUGAAGUUUCUGUACUGCGUUUUGCUGCUGUUCCUGGCGAUAAAUGUCGGGUAUUGCGCUGCCAUUCCCGUAGAUGCGGAGAGCAAUGCCAUUGGUGAUCGUUCAAACCGCAUGUUCGUACAAGUGCUCAACUGCACCAGUCCCAACUGUAAGGCCCAAUGUAGAGGACGAGGAUACCGCACAGGGCAGUGCCAGAUUGGACGAUGUUUCUGCUCAUAUGUUUAAAAACUGUGUAUUAUAUGUAUUAUUUAUGAUUGAAUAUAAGAUAGUGUAGAACAUA